GUACUUACCUGGACGGGGUUGACGGCCGAUCAAGAGGGGGCCGUGGCCUAGAUCAAUGGCUCACAUUGCACUUGAUGAGUGCGUUGGUCUACCAUCUCGGGGUACGCGUUCGCGCGGUCCCUGU
rnacentral:snRNA from 1 species